GUGACUGCAAAACCAAUGAUGACUGUAAUGACGGUGAAUGCUGUGUACCAGAGUAUAGAUUCCACAUAGUCAGCAAGAGGGUUCUGCCUGACCUGCCUUUCCUGUCUAAACGAGAGGGCAGAUGUAUGGCCUAUAUUCAGAAAGGGGCCUCUUGCCACACCCCAGGGUUUGCCUCCUGUGGCUGUGCCCCAGGCCUGGUCUGCAAUUACUAUCCAGAUGGCAAGACCAAGAGAAAGAUUAUCUUCAGGCCAGGGGAUUCCUUCUGUGAGGAAGGACCAACUGAUGUCUGAGCAGGGAAAAUUUUUCCUAGAUUCAAUCACUGACUGAGAAUAGUUGCCAUCAGAACUGCUGUUGAUAACAAUUUUCUUUGAGAAUUGUCAGAAAUAAAAAAGUCAUUUAUAUUAUUUUA